CGUCGAAUGCGGCCGCCAUGUUGGACAGGGAAAAGGCGCAGGCUAAAACGCUUCAGGUACGAGCCACAAACGUACCUUUGUUUUCCUCUGGUUCCAACAUAAACGAGCCAGUCUACAGAAGGAGACCCGCCAUCAGCGUCCGACUAAAGGAGCGUCCUGCAGAUCCAGAGACUGGUGGCUCCUGGCAGUCAGUACCACAGUGAGUCAUCUGCCACUGCGGCGUGGGCGUCUGAACUACCAGAGUCGCAGACGAAGCCAAAGUCAUACGCCACACAGUGUUUCUGGGUCCUUGGUACUGAAGGAGCAGCUCCACAGCCCUGAGGUCGGCGGCAGCCGGUACCGUCUGUGUGGAUCGUCUCCCUCUGGCUGCUGAACUGACCUGCUGAAGCUCAAGUCCAGACUGAAGCUCAUCUUUUCUCCCGCAGU